rnacentral:lncRNA from 1 species
CAAUAGGCCUAUGAAAAUAUUUAAUCCUGAUUAUGUAUUCAAAGGAAUACAAAAUAACAUAUCAAAAUAAACUAUUUUAACCUAUCAAAUAGUGAGAUUGACAAACCCGUUGUGAGACUCAGGGAUAGGUAAAGUGGAGUAGAAGGAAAGGAUCAAGUUCUCUCUCCUAGGAAACAGAGUUAGCUCUAGCCUUAAAGUAGAGAUGAUCAAGAAGGAAACAUGCAUCUAUAGCCAUAUCACCAUGAAUGUGCCCAAUCUCAUCUGAUCUUGGAAGCUAAGCAGGGUUGGGCCUGGUUAGUACUUGGAGGGGAGACUGCCAGGAAUACCAGGUGCUAUAGGCUUUUUUUUUUUUAAGGAAACAUUUUAGAGAAGUGAUGCGUUAAAUAUUAUAUUGAUCUUGAAGGAAGGGAAAUGCACCCUGCUUGAGGCAAUGAAAGGUAGUAAUAAAUUUUUUAAUCUAUUGAAUCAGAAUUGCCACCAUUGUCUCAAAAAACUCUCAUCCUGACUCCAGUGAGUAGUGUGACUUGGUAUCCCAACUCUGGAGAGUAUCAAAAGCCCUAAGCCAUGCAUACCCUUUGGUGCACUUUCUAGGAAUAUAUAUCAAGGAAUUGAUGACUAUGCCACAGCAUUUAUCCACAACGGCAUCUGUCACUGUAUCAUUUAUAAAAACAAGGAAAAACAACAACAAAAAGCAAACCAACCCCCACCAAAAUAAAUGACAACAAAGAAAAACAACCAAAGGGCACUGGGGGAUACAUGAUGAAACCUUCAUACAAAAGAGAUACUAGGUAGCUUUGGAUGUAGGAAAAUACAUAAUAACAUGGUAAGACAAACAUGAAAUAGCGGAAUCAGAUUUCAAAGUAGUAUGUUUGUAGUUUUACAUACAUAAAAGGUGCACACAAAGUGAAAAUUCGUCCAAAACCCAGCAAUUUCCCUUGGGAGUGGGGUGGGUAGGAGUAGGAUGUGAUUUUGCAUGCUGUUUGUAUUUCCCAUUUCUCAAUGUAUUUGCUCUAGUGCCCCUGAAACUUCCCACUUAGCUGCUUUCUUGCCCUCUCCUGACUCAGUCUCUUAGGUCCCAAUCAAUCUCUGGAGGUGGAAUGGAAGGAAGACAGGUAGACCCAUCUCAGGGUGGCCACAGCUGCUCCCACUGGGGAGUUCCAUUUGGAGAAGGCUCUCAGGUCUACCCCUCAUCCAAGCCCUGGAUUUCUUCUGGACCUCACCCAGAAAGGACAGGGUCAUCUUCCAUCUUUGCUAUUCCAUUCCACCAUUCUUCCAGCCCAAUUCCCUGCCUCUCCAAGGGGCACUGGUAGCUCAGGAAAAGAGCUUCUUCUUGGGGCUCUGUUUCAGACUUGGUUCCUGUCUUUGGUUUCUCUUGCUGCUAGCAGAUUUCAG